rnacentral:rRNA from 1 species
UUCCGGUUGAUCCUGCCGGAGGCCAUUGCUAUCGGAGUCCGAUUUAGCCAUGCUAGUCGUGCGAGUUCAGACUCGCGGCACCGAGCUCAGUAACACGUGGCCAAACUACCCUACAGAGACGGACACCCUCGGGAAACUGAGGUUAACCCGUCAUACCGAUCUCAGGCUUGAAUCGCAGAGAUCACAAAAUGCCCCGGCGCUGUAGGAUGUGGCUGCGGUUGAUUAGGUAGACGGUGGGGUAACGGCCCACCGUGCCCAUAAUCAGUACAGGUUGUGANAGCAAGAACCUGGAGACGGAAUCUGAGACAAGAUUCCGGGCCCUACAGGGCGCANCAGGCGCGAAACUUUACACUGCACGCACGUGCGAUAAGGGGACUCCGAGUGCGAGGGCAUAUCGUCCUCGCUUUUGUGUACCGUAGGGCGGUACACGAACAAGAGCUGGGCAAGACCGGUGCCAGCCGCCGCGGUAAUACCGGCAGCUCAAGUGAUGGCCGAUCUUAUUGGGCCUAAAGCGUCCGUAGCUGGCCUCGAAAGUCCGUCGGGAAAUCCACGCGCCCACGAGUGGGCGUCCGACGGAAAACUGCACAGCUUGGGACCGGAAGGCUCGAAGGGUACGUUCGGGGUAGGAGUGAAAUCCCAUAAUCCCGCACGGACCACCGAUGGCGAAAGCACUUCGAGAAAACGGAUUCGACAGUGAGGGACGAAAGCCAGGGUCUCCAACCGGAUUAGAUACCCGGGUAGUCCUGGCCGUAAACAAUGUUCGCUAGGUAUGACACAGACUACGCGUCUCUGUUGUGCCGUAGGGAAGCCGAGAAGCGAACCGCCUGGGAAGUACGUCUGCAAGGAUGAAACUUAAAGGAAUUGGCGGGGGAGCACUACAACCGGAGGAGCCUGCGGUUUAAUUGGACUCAACGCCGGACAUCUCACCAGCCCCGACAUCAGUAAUGACAGUCAUGUGACGACAUCCACUCGAGCUGAUGAGAGGAGGUGCAUGGCCGCCGUCAGCUCGUACCGUGAGGCAUCCUGUUAAGUCAGGCAACGAGCGAGAUCCACGUUCCUAAUUGCCAGCACCAUCGCACGAUGGGUGGGUACAUUAGGAGGACUGCCAGUGUUAAACUGGAGGAAGGAACGGGCAACGGUAGGUCAGUAUGCCCCGAAUGAGCUGGGCAACACGCGGGCUACAAUGGCUAAGACAAUGGGUCGCUAUCUCGACAGAGAACGCUAAUCUCGAAACUUAGUCGUAGUUCGGAUUGAGGGCUGAAACUCGCCCUCAUGAAGCUGGAUUCGGUAGUAGCCGCCUUUCAGUAGAAGGCGACGAAUACGUCCCUGCUCCUUGCACACACCGCCCGUCAAAGCACCCGAGUGAGGUCCGGAUGAGGCUAUCACUGAUAGUCGAAUCUGGGCUUCGCAAGGGGGCUUAAGUCGUAACAAGGUAACC